CAGCUCCAAUAGCGUAUAUUAAAGUUGUUGCAGUUAAAAAGCUCGUAGUUGGAUCUAGGGACGCGCAUUUCAAGCGCCCGUGUCGUCGGGUCAAACCGGCGACUGCGUUGGCGUUGCGGGCUCGGUCCGUCGGUGCCCCACAAAGGGCUACUGGCGUGUCAACCGGCCCGCCCGUCCCCUCCUUCUGGAUUCCCGUUCCUGCUAUUGAGUUAGUGGGGACGUCACAGGGGGCUCAUCGUCGUGCGGCGUCAAAACCGUGCGGCGGUGGGUCCCUGGGGCCCAGAUCGUUUACCGUGAAAAAAUUAGAGUGUUCAAAGCAGGCAGAUCCAAUUUUCUGCCACCGAAUACAUUAGCAUGGGAUAAUGGAAUAGGACCCUGUCCUCCUAUUUUCAGUUGGUUUUGGCAGCGCGAGGACUAGGGUAAUGAUUAAUAGGGAUAGUUGGGGGCAUUAAUAUUUAAUUGUCAGAGGUGAAAUUCUUGGAUUUAUGAAAGAUUAACUUCUGCGAAAGCAUCUGCCAAGGAUGUUUUCAUUAAUCAAGAACGAAAGUUAGGGGAUCGAAGACGAUCAGAUACCGUCGUAGUCUUAACCAUAAACGAUGCCGACCAGCGAUUAGGAGACGUUGAAUACAAAACACCACCAUCGGCGCGGUCGUCCUUGGCGUCGGUCCUUCACGGGGCCGGCGCGAGGGCGGCUUAGCCCGGUGGCACCGGUGAA
rnacentral:rRNA from 1 species